rnacentral:tRNA from 1 species
GCCUGCGUGGCUCAGUCGGUUGAGCGUCUGACUUCGGCUCAGGUCAUGAUCUCACAGUCUGUGAGUUCGAGCCCCGCAUCGGGCU